rnacentral:rRNA from 1 species
GACGAACGCUGGCGGCGUGCUUAACACAUGCAAGUCGAGCGGUAAGGCCCUUUCGGGGGUACACGAGCGGCGAACGGGUGAGUAACACGUGGGUGACCUGCCCUCAGCUCUGGGAUAAGCCUGGGAAACCGGGUCUAAUACUGGAUAUGGCUCCAUGACGCAUGUUGUGGGGUGGAAAGCCUUGUGCGGCUGAGGAUGGGCCCGCGGCCUAUCAGCUUGUUGGUGGGGUGANGGCCUACCAAGGCGACGACGGGUAGCCGGCCUGAGAGGGCGACCGGCCACACUGGGACUGAGACACGGCCCAGACUCCUACGGGAGGCAGCAGUGGGGAAUCUUGCGCAAUGGGCGAAAGCCUGACGCAGCGACGCCGCGUGAGGGAUGACGGCCU